CCUACGGGUGGCAGCAGUGGGGGAUAUUGCCCAAUGGAGGAAACUCUGAUGCAGCAACGCCGCGUGAGGGAAGAAGGUCUUCGGAUUGUAAACCUCUGUCCUCAGGGACGAUAAUGACGGUACCUGAGGAGGAAGCUCCGGCUAACUACGUGCCAGCAGCCGCGGUAAUACGUAGGGAGCAAGCGUUGUCCGGAUUUACUGGGUGUAAAGGGUGCGUAGGCGGCCCUGCAAGUCAAGUGUGAAAACUAUGGUCGUAACUCAUAGAUUGCACUUGAAACUGAGGAGAUUGGCUGAAGUCGAGGCAGGCUGGUUUCCCGGUUUUGCGGUGAUAUGCGCAGAGAGCGGGAAAAACACCAGUGGCGAAGGCGUCAUGUUGGGCUUGAAGUGACGCUGAGGCACGAAAGCGUGGGUAGCAAACAGGAUUAGAUACCAUUGUAGUC
rnacentral:rRNA from 1 species